ensembl:lncRNA
CUCACAUGAACAUCACUCACACUGGAAAAAAGUGAUGCAGUGUGUUUAUAUCAUUCAGAUACGCUCAUGUCCCCGUCGAGCUGUUUUAUUGGCACAAGACGAACCUUUUUAAUAUUACUGUAGUGAGGGGGUUGUAAUGUUUUGGCUGUUUGGAGUACAGUAAAAUAAAAGUGCAGAGAUAAAGGAGCUGAAAGGAGCAGUCAGUAAUAAAUGAGAGCGAGUGUGUGAGUCCAAUUUACAAACACUGGAUAGAUUUUUCUUCCCCUACUGCAUUUCCCAGACGUAAAGCUCAUGCGGGUUGCCAGAUUGACACGUAGGGGAAAGUGAUGACAAGUGAUGAUCAGUAUAUAUAUAUAUAAUUCCUAUAUAAAUUCCUGUCUCUUCUACUACACUACUGAUGGUGGUUAGCAACCUUACUGAAGCUCAGUGAUUACCUGUUCAGAGGAAAAAUAGCCAGCUCGCCCGUUUCCAUGGCUACAGCACACUGUUUGCGUGCUGGUGUGUUCUAUACCUGGAAACCCAAGCUGUGGAAAUGGGACAGGCAGCUAUAUCCCACAAAGAUCAUUACCGUGAAAAACUGCACAGUACAUGUAAUAAAUAUGUAAUUAAUGUAUUGCAAGGAAGUAUCACAGGUUUGUGUGUGUGAGUGAGUAUUUGUGUGUAUGUGUGUGUUUGUGUAAAUGUGUGUGUGUGUGUGUGUGUGUGUGGUGAGAGGGUCAGGCGCUGAGACUGACGCCUAAACCUGUGAGAAAUGAGCUGCUCAUCACCUCCAACCCCUCAGCUAAUACCCCUGUUACCAUAUCACCCCUCCACACACCUCCACACACCACCACACACCUCCAGCCCACAGCUCUUCACUCACACACCUCCACACCACCUUUUAUCUCCACAGGUCUUCUCACAGGAGCUCAGAGUGCCCAGGUUCUCCACUCUACAGCCCAGAUUUCUGGAGACCUUCAAGACCAACCCUCUUCUUCUGAGAGUGAAGGAGGCACCUCACCAAUCGAAAGCUGCAGUCGUGACCCAACACCAGCUUCGCCUGAUGCACAGCCUCUCCCUGUCUCACAUCGCUCACACACACAGUUGGAGCAUGUGUGUCCAAACAAAAUCUCAAUUAAAGAACCGAGAUGUUCAACACAGCCUCUUCUCCCACCACUGCAGUCUCUGGAAGAUCACUCCAAAACUGAACUUCCAAAACCUUCUAUGGAGGACACAGUCACUCCAUCCCACCAGGCAAGCAGGUAAGGCCUGCGCAUAAUCUGAACAGGCAAUUUAGCGUAAAUUAUGCCUAAAAUUACAUAAUUCAUGAUUUCUGCAGCAGGAAACAGACUGACGACUCUGCGUUAAGCUACGAUAAAGCUCCGAACUCCUCCAGCUCAGAUGUUCCUCUGUCCAUGGAGGACAUUCACUCUCCGAGUAUUUCAUUGGUAAUCAAAUAUUAUGUCAGGGGUCCAUUUAUAUUUGUUUAUUAAGAGUAAUUUCUAUGGUUACCUGACUGGUUUGUUUCCUUUUCAGGCUAAAGACCCUGAUGACAAGACCUGGACCAAUUAUGUGUCUUAAAGUCAGCACUUUCAGCACUGCUCUGACCCCUUUUAAGAUAAAGAGGCUUUUUUAUACUAAAUUGUGUUUUUCUUGUUGCUUUUGUAACAUUAGAGACUUCUACUAAAAUAUAUCUUUAAGUGUAACUCACAAAUUAUGUAUAUACUUCUGAUAAAUUUGACUCAAUUUAAUCAAAUGCCACUUCAGCAACUGUAAUAUGUACUUUAAAUGUGUUUAUUUAGUUUAUAAAUUUAUAUGAAACAUAUAUUUUAUUAUGUUUCAGAGUCUGAUAUAUGUAAUAUUUGCA